AACGAACGCUGGCGGCGUGCUUAACACAUGCAAGUCGAACGAUGAAGCCGGAGCUUGCUCUGGUGAAUUAGUGGCGAACGGGUGAGUAACACGUGAGUAACCUGCCCUUGACUCUGGGAUAACUGCUAGAAAUGGUAGCUAAUACCGGAUACGACCCUCGGCGGCAUCGCCAGGGGGUGGAAAGAAUUUCGGUCAAGGAUGGACUCGCGGCCUAUCAGCUAGUUGGUGAGGUAACGGCUCACCAAGGCGACGACGGGUAGCCGGCCUGGGAGGGUGACCGGCCACACUGGGACUGAGACACGGCCCAGACUCCGACGGGAGGCAGCAGUGGGGAAUAUUGCACAAUGGGCGCAAGCCUGAUGCAGCAACGCCGCGUGAGGGAUGACGGCCUUCGGGUUGUAAACCUCUUUUAGUAGGGAAGAAGCGAAAGUGACGGUACCUGCAGAAAAAGCACCGGCUAACUGCGUGCCAGCAGCCGCGGUAA
rnacentral:rRNA from 1 species